AAUUGAUAGAGGAAAGAGGUUUAAUUGACUCACAGUUUCACCUGGUUGAGGAGGCCUCACAAUCAUGGAGGAAGGCAAGGAGGAGCAAAGCCACAUCUUACAUAGUGGCAGGCAAAGAGAGAGCUUGUGCAAGGGAACUCUCAUUUAUAAAACCAUCAGAACUCUUGAGAUUUAUUCACUACCAUGAGAACAGCAUGGGAAAGACCCGUCCCCAUGAUUUAAUUACCUCCCACUGCAUCCCUCCCAUGACAGGCGGGAAUUAUGGGAGCUACAAUUCAAGAUGAGAUUUGGGUAGGGACACAGCCAAACCAUAUCAUUCUGCCCCCAACCCCUCCCAAAUUUCAUGUUCUCACAUUUUAAAACCAAUCAUACCUUCCCCACAGUCCCCCAAAUUCUUAACUCAUUUCAGCAUAAACUUAAAAGUCCAUAGUCCAAAGUCUCAUUUAAGACAAGGUGAGUUCCUUCCACCUAGGAGCCUGUAAAAUCAAAAGCAACUUAGUUACUUCCCAGAUACAAUGGGGGUACAGGUAUCGGGUAAAUACACCCAUUCCAAAUGUGACAGACUGGCCAAGAUGGAGGGGCUACAGGCCCCAUGCAAGUUAGAAAUCCAGCAGGGCAGCCAAAUCUUAAAGCUCUGAAAUUAUCUCCAUGGACACCAUUUCUCACAUCCAAGUUAUGCUGCAAGAGGUGGGUUCCCAUGGUCUUGGGCAGCUCUGCCUCUGUGUCUUUGUGGCUGCUUUCACUCCUGGUGUUGAGUGUCUAUGGCUCUUCCAGGUGCACAGUGUAAGCUGUUGGUGGAUCUACCAUUCUGGGGUCUGGAGGACGCUGGCCCUCUCCUCACAGCCCCACUAGGCGGUGCCUCAGUGGGGACUCUGUGUGGGGUUUCAAGCCCACAUUUCCCUUCUUCAUUGCCCUAGCAAAGGUUCUCCAUGAGGGCGCUGUUCCUGAAGCAAACUUCUGACUGGACAUCCAGGCAUUUCUCUACAUCCUCUGAAAUCUAGGCGGAGGUUCCCAAACCUCAAUUCUUGACCUCUGUGCACCCGCAGGCUCAACACCAUGUGGAUGCUGCCUAGGCUUGGAGCUUGCACCCUUUCAAGCCAUGGCCCCAGCUGUACCUUGGCCCCUUUUAUCCAUGGCUAGAGCAACUGGGAUGCAGGAUAUCAAGUCCCUAGGCUACACACAGCCAAAUCAUAUCACAAGGGGUGGAUUAUUCAUGAAUUUUCCAGGAAGAGUGGGCAAUUCCCAGAACUGGGGGUUCCUCCCCUUUUUAGACUAUAUAGGGUAAUUUUCUGAUGUUGCUAUGGAAUUUGUAAACUGUUUUGGUGUGGGUAGGAGUGUCUUUUAGCAUGCUAAUGCACUGUAAUUAGCAUAUAAUGAGCAGUGAGGACAAUUAGAAGUCACUUUUGUUGCUAUCUUGGUUUUGGCCGGCUUUUCUUACUACAACCUGUUUUAUCGGCAAGGUCUUUAUAAGCUGUAUCUUGUUCUGACCUCCUAUCUCAUCCGGUGAGUUAGAAUGCCUUAACCAUCUGGGAAUGCAACCCAGCAGUUCUCAGCCUUGUUUUACCCAGACCCUAUUCAAGGUGGAGUUGUUCUGAUUCAAAUGUCUCUGACAUUUCCCCCCUCCCUUUUACAAGGCAACUCUUAAUCCUAAGGGUUGUGGAAGGAUGAAGAUCCAUAUUCUGUAACUUCUUCAGGCUGAAUAGGGGCAAUGCUUUCCUGCCUAACUGUUAGGGUCUCUUGUAUUCAGGGUAGAGAGGAGCUCAGAAAGCAUAAUUAUGGUGAGGGUCACUUGUAACUCCGAGUUCUGACAAAAGGUGGUAUCUGUCUUGUUUAUUCUGAACUGCAACCAGAGAUCACUGGUUGGCUCACAGGAAUAAGCAGUCAGUCUAAAUUGCAGAAGAAAACCCUCAAAAACAACUGAUGAGAUUAGAAUCUAAUAACAGGUGUACCAUAGUUCUUGAAACAUAAUUUUUCUCUCUCCAGUCUCCCAUUUUUUACUAAAGACAAAUCAUGGCAAAACCAAUUUGCUUUAUUAUACUUGGCCUAAUUAUUUGUAUAAAGUGCAGCAAUAAUAAUUAUUUUUCACAGAGGCUUUUAAAAUUGACUUUGAUGGAACUGUGUUUCAUAAAAUGAAUCUCAGAUAAGACUUUUUAAAAGCUGAGCCCAGCCGUGAGUUUGCACCCUCAAAUACCUGAGUUGGGUAAAUUCCUCUCCUCUUGAGGUCCCAAGAUAACCUGGGGCUCCUGGGCCAAUCAGAAAGUGACAUUCUUUACUUACCACAGGUCGGGAACCCUGUACAGGGACUGUGUAGACAAGGCAUGAGGCCAGGUUUCCCAAGGGGCUUUUAUUGGCUUUAUAAGUCAAGUUUGAUUCCUUAAAGGAAAACAUACCAUUCCAAUCAAAGCUUUGGUAAAAUCACCAGUUUCUCCAAUUGUGUCUGUUUGCAAAAGAAAACAGAUCCUUAUUGUACUUAUGCAAAUAACUAUAUUGCUAUAAGUUAAGAAUACUCACAAAUAGUUUCCAAAUUUUGGAGAAAUCAGGCAGAGAGAAACAAAUAUGCUCCAAAUUUUGUUCACAGGAGUUAAGCUGUCAGUAGCUCAAAAGAAAAGUUUCCUUGACUCUGAAAAACAAAACAAAGGAUCCGCAACAUUUUAAGCAAAAAGCCGAAAAAGAUCACCUCAGUCCUCUAUUAGUUCAGUCCAUACAGAUAACUUCUGUUCUGUUUGAUAUUCAAAGAAGAUCCAGUAGUUGUAAGAUUGUUCAUUUGCCAGUUUGUUAAUUGGAUUACUGGCAGGGUGGAGCCUUUGGAGGAACAGGGCCAGGAAAGCAUGCAGUUUCUACAGCCUAACAAGCAGGCACAGCUGGAAGGCAAAAACAGAUCCCCAAAAAUUAAGGGCCUCAUUUUUACACCAGGUCCUGGAUCCCCAAAAGAAAUGCUAUAGAACAAGACAGUACAAUAAUUUUACCAUGCAUUUAAUUGCUAGGCAACCCAAAGUCAAUCAGCCCAUUCUGUGAUUAACCCAUCCCCCAUAGGAGUCUUAUGUCUGGGUGGGGGGAAAGGGCAUUUCCAUACUUUUUAGGUGGUCAAGAGCAUGCUUUUCUGUUCCAAGAAAAAGCAAAGCGCCAUAUAUUCCCAAACCACUGCCAUUAGUUAUUUACCAAAGUAUAUUUCCUAUCUAGUUAUUACACACCAGAGUUCUCUCAUAAUGCAAAGUAAUUUCUGAUAUUCCCCCAAAUCAAAACCAUCACAUAACACAAUGCGAAACAGAACAGAGUCUUCGAUCUGAGCAUCCCUCGAUGAGGGCUGUUGCGUCUUGAUUUCAUCUGGGUAGUUACAGGCAUCAUCCACCACGAAGUUUCCAACCCAGAGUCAGGAUGCAGC
rnacentral:lncRNA from 1 species